GGCAGACGUCACUUCCCCUGGCUAGCUCAGGCAGCGGGUUGGUCGGCUGAGUGGCAGAAAGGCAGACGGGGACUGGGAAACGCACUGUCAUAUACCAGAAGAACAUGACUCGAUGAGUUUUGCCCUAAUGUUAACAAGUUAUUUUGAACUUAAGAUCGGCCCUUUUUUCAAAGAAGAGCAGUUGGAACAACAAGAGCUGUUUAGUUGUACCCUUGGAAUCCAUGGAAAUCCUGGGUAGGGAGGCUCCAGUACCACCAACUGGAGAGACUGCGGAUGCCUAGUAGCUAGUACUGGCUGUUGUGUAGGCUUUGUCCACUUUGACAAAUUGAAGACGGGGACUCGACUCACCUUCGCCAGCCACGGGAGGACCUCCAGACGAGGACCAGACUCGCCGCCUUUCUUUCCCGUCAGAAAGGGAUCCCUUGCGGACAGGACCGAAUGGCCCCUAAGGCUUCUCUGCAGACCCAACCGAAACAGGCCUGAAGCUCCAGGAGGGCGAGAGGAUCCUCUUUGAGCGAAACCAGCCUUCUGCCUGGCUGGCCCUGGUCAACACACUGGGAAGAGGCCGAUUUGGCGGACAGAAAGGAAGAAAAUACCUAAAG
rnacentral:lncRNA from 1 species